GCCCAACAGCUAGCCCACCUAAACAAUUUCAACAAACCCCUGUUAAUAACCCCUAAAUACACUAGUAUUUAAAUUAAACAAACCAUUUUUCCCCCUUAGUAUAGGCGAUAGAAAAGGGACUACGGCGCAAUAGAGAAAGUACCGCAAGGGAAUGCUGAAAGAGAAAUGAAACAACCCAGUAAAGCCUAGAAAAGCAGAGAUUUAUUCUCGUACCUUUUGCAUCAUGAUUUAGCGAGUGUACCCCAAGCAAAGCGUACUUUAGUUUGACGACCCGAAACUACGUGAGCUACUCCAAGACAGCCUAUUAAUAGGGCAUACCCGUCUCUGUGGCAAAAGAGUGGGGAGAGCUUUGAGUAGAGGUGACAAACCUACCGAACCUAGUUAUAGCUGGUUGUCCAAGAAAUGAAUAGAAGUUCAGCCUCUUGGCUUCUCGUUUCAUCCUAGUCUUACCCCUACUGAUACCUUAAAGAAACCGAGAGAGUUAGUCAAAGGGGGUACAGCCCCUUUGAAUCAAGACACAACUUUACCAGGUGGGU
rnacentral:rRNA from 1 species